AACGAACGCUGGCGGCAUGCCUAACACAUGCAAGUCGAACGAAGCCUUCGGGCUUAGUGGCGCACGGGUGCGUAACGCGUGGGAAUCUGCCCUUGGGUUCGGAAUAACAGUUAGAAAUGACUGCUAAUACCGAAUGAUGUCUUCGGACCAAAGAUUUAUCGCCCAAGGAUGAGCCCGCGUCGGAUUAGCUAGUUGGUGAGGUAAAGGCUCACCAAGGCGACGAUCCGUAGCUGGUCUGAGAGGAUGAUCAGCCACACUGGGACUGAGACACGGCCCAGACUCCUACGGGAGGCAGCAGUGGGAAUAUUGGACAAUGGGCGAAAGCCUGAUCCAGCAAUGCCGCGUGAGUGAUGAAGGCCUUAGGGUUGUAAAGCUCUUUUACCCGGGAUGAUAAUGACAGUACCGGAGAAUAAGCCCCGGCUAACUCCGUGCCAGCAGCCG
rnacentral:rRNA from 1 species